rnacentral:rRNA from 1 species
UACGGGGGGGGUAAGCGUUGUUCGGAAUUACUGGGCGUAAAGCGCAUGUAGGCGGCCAAGCAGGUCGGAUGUGAAAUCCCUCGGCUCAACCAAGGAAAGUGCAUUCGAAACCGCAUGGCUGGAGUCCCGGAGAGGGUAGUGGAAUUCUCGGUGUAGAGGUGAAAUGCGUAGAUAUCUGGAGGAACACCGGUGGCGAAGGCGGCAUCCUGGACCGGUACUGACGCUGAGGUGCGAAAGCGUGGGGAGCAAACAGG